AUGGAAGGCGAGAAGCUAGAAGAGUGCGGGUACCUGCAUCUUGAUGAUUCCUCUCACUUGCUGCACACCAUUGUGCAUGCGAACGGCUAUGGGCAUCUUCUCCGAGUAAAUGGCCGUGAGGGUGGGUCGAGGCACCUUACUGGUCGUGACAUAAUGAGCUUCCGGGAUCGCCUGUGCAAGGUGUUGCAUGUGAGGAAGGUCACUGUCAUGGACAUAUCCAAGAAGCACAGAAUGGACCACAGGCUUUUGCAUGCCAUCACAACUGGGCAUCCAUGGUAUGGUGAAUGGGGAUACAAGUUUGGUGCCGGUAGCUUUGCUCAUACCUCAGAUACCUACCAGGAGGCGGUUGAUCGCUUGCUGUUGCACCAGAAAGUAUAUACUUCCAUCACCCUCUCCAAUUCAAAUGGCUGA
rnacentral:rRNA from 1 species